rnacentral:rRNA from 1 species
UACGUAGGGUGCGAGCGUUGUCCGGAAUUAUUGGGCGUAAAGGGCUCGUAGGCGGUUUGUCGCGUCGGGAGUGAAAACCCAGGGCUUAACCCUGGGCUGGCUUCCGAUACGGGCAGACUAGAGGUAUGCAGGGGAGAACGGAAUUCCUGGUGUAGCGUUGAAAUGCGCAGAUAUCAGGAGGAACACCGGUGGCGAAGCCGGUUCUCUGGGCAUUACCUGACGCUGAGGAGCGAAAGUGUGGGGAGCGAACAGG